rnacentral:lncRNA from 1 species
GGUAAGGGGUGUUGAAGGUGGAGGUGCGACGGCCUUGCGUGGUGGUAGAGUGGAAGAGAAAUGAGGAAAAUGAGACUUCUAAGUUGGUAAAAAAAAAAGAAAAUGAGUGAAAAAUUGAUGAGCAAAGUGGUGGUGCGACUAAAGGAGAUGAGAAGAGAAAAAUGGAGAAAAUAAAAAUGAAAUGGGGAGUGUCUAAGUUCAAUGGUCAACCAAGUUAAGGUAAGGGAGAGGUUUUGGCAAGUUGAGGGGACAAUGACACCAAAAGUGGAUCAUGGGAGUGAAAAUGGGAGAACUUUGGGAAGGUUGACCUUACAAUUAAGGAAAUAAUCUUCCCUUGUAUGGCAAUAUGUGUUGGAUGGCAAGAG